GAACUCCACCCGCAAUCCAGUCUGGCCUGAGCAUUUUGCUCCGGCACCUGUGCGUGGAAAACAGCUGAGCCCAGGAGGUUCCAGACCCUGGAUACCUGAGACACAUCGACUUGCUUCUUAGGUUUGGAGUGCAUAAUGAGGAGAAAUAAAAAUAGAAAGAUCUCCAGAAAGAAGCCAUGGGUGGAGCACAGAGGGCAACUAGAUGAAAUGAAAAGAAUGCCCAGGCAUCCCAGUGCCCCCAUUGAUGUUCCAGAACUUCGUCGACCAUGCAGAAUACCUUCCAGCCCCGUGAACACUAAUCACUCAGUCAGUAAUGGUGAACUUCUAACUGCGCUUUGGCUCAAUAUUCUCAUGAUUGAUGAUCGUUCAGAAUCAAGCUCAGAAGCUCCCAGCUCCCAGCAAGUACUCUACUACUGAACUACACCAUCUCUCCAGCCCAUGCUUACUCUUGAAUAGCCACAAAGUAUUCAAUGGUAUGGAAAAUAGACCUCCAUUUCAUUUAAACUUUUAUAGUAUUUUUUUGCCACUUAAAUUAUUUUAUGUAGUUGAGUAUGAUUUUUUUUUUCGAAGAAAUUCUAUGUAUCUCAAUUUAGAGUCUUCAACCUUUCUGUUAUACAUAAUUUCCUGUAGUUUUCAGUUGCUUUAAUAAAACAUUUAAUAUUGAAA
ensembl:processed_transcript